UUUGAUCGGGCAGUUCAAGAGGCCAUUAAAAAACAGAUGCCGGAUAUACUAAAGGAACUAAGGGAAGACUUACGUCGAGAGACGAUUGAGGUAAUUAGCAUUUAUAUAUAAAUCAAUAUUCAUAUUUUCUUUAUAAUUUCAAUUUUUUUUUACAUUAGGGUCAGUCGAGCCAAGGACACGACAACAUAAUCACGCCUACUACAAGAGAUUCAAAUGUCGAAAAUGUUGGCAAAAAAGCGACUCAAAGUCCGACUAAAAGUGGGACGAAUAGCGCGACUAAGAGCAUGACCGACACUAACAAAUAGGUUCCUCUUUAUUUAUCUUUUCGUUUAGUUUUGUUUUAAAUGACAUGAAUUGUAUAAAAAUUGGAAUGGUAUGGAAUUGGAAUGGUUUAGAAUGGUUUAGAAUUCAUUCAUUUUCUUUUAUCUUUUGGAAUGGUAUAGAAUUGAAGAAUUGAAUGGAAUGUUUUGGAAUUGAUU
rnacentral:lncRNA from 1 species